GAGCUGCCGGGAAGGGCUGGCUGGCCUCGCAGCGCCCCGCCGCGGCUGCGGCCGGAAGCGGUCUCGUUGGCCCUGCGGCGCUGGAGCCCUGACGCACGGAGCUCGAGAGCGAGAACGGGAGAGAAAGGGGUAGAAAUGGCGGCUCCGCUCAGCUCCCGCUGAGGAGGGCGAAGCCGGCGGAGUGUCUGUGCUGCCGCCUGCAGCACCGCCCCCGCUUCCCGCUCGCCGCUUGCUCACGCCGACUUCCCUUCCUCUGCCCGGCUCUCUCUUGUGCUCGUCUGCGCUCUGCACGCUCCGGACCGGCUCGUCUCUCACUGCCCGGCUCGGCUCCGCUGGCCCUGACUGACCGGCCGGCGGGCCGGCCUUGCUCGGCUCUCCCGGGCGCGGCGUGGACUCCGUCCCCCUGGCUGGACCAUGGUGAACACCCGGAAGAGCUCUCUCCGCCUUCUCGGAUCCAAGUCUCCUGGUCCCGGGCCUGGGCCUGGGGCCGGAGCAGAGCCUGGGGCGACCGGAGGCAGCAGCCAUUUCAUCUCCUCUCGGACCCGCUCCUCCAAGACCCGCGCCGCCAGCUGCCCCGCCGCCAAGGCCGGGGGAAGCGGUGGCGCCGGCGUCACUCUGGAUGAGGCCAGGAAAGCUGAAGUUGAUGGUAGUUUAAGUGAUAGCCACGUAUCUCCUCCAGCCAAACGCACUUUGAAACAACCUGAUUCUGUUUGCAAAGACAAAUCAAAAUCACGAAGUACUGGUCAGCGAGAGGAAUGGAAUUUAUCAACUGGACAGGCCAGGUUAACUUCUCAGCCUGGUGCUACAUUACCAAACGGACAUAGUAGUUUAUCCCUUCGAAGCCAUCCCCUUCGAGGGGAAAAGAAGGGAGAUGGGGACCUUUCUUGUAUAAAUGGUGACAUGGAAGUCAGAAAAAGUUGUCGUUCCAGGAAAAACAGAUUUGAAAGUGUGAACCAGAGUUUGUUAUUUGAUCAACUAGUAAAUAGCACUGCUGAAGCUGUGCUACAGGAAAUGGACAACAUUAAUAUCCGACGGAAUCGUCGAUCAGGAGAAGUAGAACGACUUCGAAUGUGGACAGAUACAGAAUUUGAAAACAUGGAUAUGUAUUCAAGAGUGAAAAGGCGAAGAAAGUCACUAAGAAGAAAUAGUUAUGGGAUACAAAAUCAUCAUGAAGUUUCUACUGAGGGUGAAGAAGAAGAAUCUCAAGAGGAGGAUGGAGAUAUAGAAGUUGAAGAGGCAGAAGGAGAAGAAAAUGAUAGACCAUAUAAUUUGAGACAGAGAAAAACAGUGGAUCGAUACCAAGCACCUCCAAUAGUACCAGCUCAUCAAAAAAAGAGGGAAAACACGCUGUUUGAUAUUCAUAGAUCUCCAGCAAGAAGAAGCCAUAUUAGGAGAAAGAAGCAUGCCAUUCAUAGUAGUGACACAACUUCUUCUGAUGAGGAACGCUUUGAAAGAAGGAAAUCAAAGAGCAUGGCAAGAGCAAGAAAUAGGUGUUUGCCUAUGAACUUCAGAGCAGAGGACUUAGCUAGCGGUAUUCUCCGAGAACGAGUGAAAGUGGGUGCAAGCUUGGCUGAUGUUGAUCCAAUGAACAUUGAUAAAUCAGUACGGUUUGAUAGCAUAGGUGGAUUGAGCCAUCAUAUUCAUGCACUAAAGGAAAUGGUAGUAUUCCCACUUUUAUAUCCAGAAAUUUUUGAAAAGUUUAAAAUUCAGCCUCCAAGGGGCUGUUUGUUUUAUGGCCCUCCUGGCACAGGUAAAACACUGGUUGCCAGAGCAUUAGCUAAUGAAUGCAGCCAAGGAGACAAAAAAGUGGCUUUUUUUAUGCGAAAAGGAGCAGAUUGUUUGAGCAAGUGGGUUGGUGAAUCUGAAAGGCAACUUAGGCUUCUUUUUGAUCAGGCAUAUUUGAUGAGACCUUCUAUAAUAUUUUUUGAUGAAAUAGAUGGCUUAGCUCCAGUUCGCUCUAGCAGACAAGAUCAGAUCCACAGCUCUAUAGUAUCAACCCUCCUUGCUCUUAUGGAUGGAUUAGAUAAUAGGGGUGAAAUUGUUGUUAUUGGUGCUACAAACAGACUUGACUCUAUAGAUCCUGCACUCAGGAGACCUGGUCGUUUUGACAGAGAAUUCCUCUUCAACCUGCCUGAUCAAAAGGCAAGAAAACACAUCUUACAGAUCCAUACCAGGGACUGGAAUCCAAAAUUGUCAGAUGCAUUUUUAGGUGAAUUGGCUGAAAAAUGUGUUGGCUACUGUGGAGCUGAUAUCAAGGCCCUGUGCACUGAAGCUGCCCUGAUUGCGCUGCGGAGGCGUUAUCCCCAGAUCUAUGCUAGCAGUCAUAAACUGCAGCUGGAUGUUUCCUCAAUAGUGCUUAGUGCUCAAGACUUUUACCAUGCAAUGCAGAAUAUUGUGCCUGCUUCGCAACGUGCUGUGAUGUCUUCAGGGCAUGCACUAUCCCCCAUCAUAAGGCCACUGCUGGAAAGAAGCUUCAACAACAUCCUAGCGGUCUUGCAAAAAGUGUUUCCUCAUGCUGAAAUUAGCCAGAGUGACAAAAAAGAAGAUAUAGAAACUUUAAUUUUAGAGGAUAGUGAAGAUGAAAAUGCUUUAUCAAUUUUUGAGACCCAUUGUCACUCAGGAUCACCAAAGAAACAGUCAUCAGCUGCUGCUAUACAUAAACCCUACCUUCAUUUUACAAUGUCACCGUAUCAUCAGCCAACCUCAUACAGGCCACGCUUACUGCUAUCUGGAGAACGGGGCUCAGGUCAAACUUCUCACCUUGCUCCAGCACUUUUGCACACUCUAGAAAGAUUCUCUGUGCAUAGACUAGAUCUCCCAGCACUUUAUUCAGUUAGUGCCAAAACACCUGAGGAAUCAUGUGCACAGAUUUUUCGUGAAGCUCGAAGAACAGUACCUAGUGUUGUUUACAUGCCUCACAUUGGCGAUUGGUGGGAAGCUGUCAGUGAAACUGUGAGAGCAACUUUUCUGACAUUGCUACAAGAUAUACCAUCAUUUUCACCUAUAUUUUUAUUGUCUACCUCUGAAACCAUGUACAGUGAACUGCCUGAAGAGGUUAAAUGUAUCUUUAGAAUACAGUAUGAAGAGGUCUUGUAUAUUCAAAGGCCUAUUGAAGAAGACAGAAGAAAAUUUUUUCAAGAAUUGAUUCUCAAUCAGGCAUCAAUGGCUCCACCACGAAGGAAACAUGCUGCUCUUUGUGCUAUGGAAGUGCUUCCUCUUGCACUACCUUCUCCACCUCGUCAAUUAUCAGAAUCAGAAAAAAAUCGAAUGGAGGACCAGGAGGAAAAUACUUUAAGAGAAUUGCGGUUGUUUCUCAGGGAUGUAACCAAGAGGCUGGCCACAGAUAAACGCUUUAACAUCUUCAGCAAACCGGUGGAUAUUGAAGAGGUUUCAGAUUAUCUUGAAGUAAUCAAGGAACCAAUGGACUUAUCAACAGUAAUAACUAAAAUUGAUAAACAUAAUUACCUAACUGCAAAGGAUUUCCUGAAAGAUAUUGACCUCAUCUGUAGCAAUGCUUUAGAGUAUAAUCCAGACAAGGACCCAGGAGAUAAAAUAAUUAGGCACAGGGCUUGUACCCUGAAGGACACUGCACAUGCUAUCAUUGCGGCUGAAUUAGAUCCAGAAUUUAAUAAACUUUGUGAGGAAAUUAAGGAAGCAAGAAUAAAAAGAGGCUUAUCAAUAACAUCAGAACAAAUAAAUCCUCAUAGUACUGGAGCUCGGAAGACAGAAACUAGAGUUGAAGAGGCAUUUCGGCACAAACAAAGAAAUCCAAUGGAUGUCUGGCACAACUCUGCAAAUAAAUGUGCAUUUCGGGUUCGGAGAAAAUCAAGGCGGCGAUCACAGUGGGGUAAAGGAAUUAUUAAGAAAAGGAAAGUUAAUAAUUUAAAAAAAGAUGAAGAAGACACCAAAUUUGCAGACUAUGAGAACCAUACGGAGGACAGGAAAUUAUUAGAGAAUGGAGAGUUUGAGGUAAGCACUGACUGCCAUGAGGAAAAUGGAGAAGAGACUGGAGACUUAUCUAUGACCAAUGACGAAUCAUCCUGUGACAUCAUGGACAUGGACCAGGGGCAGAGGCUUAACAAUGGAGCAGGCACAAAAGAGAACUUUGCCUCUACUGAGGAGGAAAGUUCAAAUGAAUCUCUACUCGUCAACAGCAGCAGUUCCUUAAACCCGGAGCAGACCUCCAGGAAAGAGACUUUCCUUAAAGGAAAUUGUCUAAAUGGUGAGGCUUCCACUGACAGUUUUGAAGGAAUACCAGUUCUGGAAUGUCAGAAUGGCAAGCUUGAAGUAGUUUCUUUCUGUGAUAGUGGAGAUAAAUGUAGUUCUGAACAAAAGAUUCUUCUGGAGGACCAGUCAAAAGAAAAACCAGAAACUUCGAUUGAAAAUCAUGGAGAUGAUCCUGAGAAACUAGAGGCACUGGAAUGUAGCAAUAAUGAGAAGUUAGAACCUGGCCCUGAUGUGGAGGUUAAAGAUGCAGAACUGGAUAAAGAAGGUGCUUCUAAAGUAAAGAAAUACCGUAAAUUAAUUUUAGAGCAGGCAAAAACGACAAGUCUGGAACUGGUUCCAGAAGAGCCAUCUGAGCCUGUGCCUCCUCUUAUAGUUGAUCGUGAGAGAUUGAAGAAAUUGCUUGAUUUGUUGGUGGAUAAAAGCAACAAUCUGGCAGUUGAUCAGCUUGAGAGACUAUAUUCUCUUCUUAGUCAGUGCAUCUACCGUCAUCGUAAAGAUUAUGACAAAUCACAACUUGUAGAGGCAUGGAAAGGAAGCCCUUCAUGACAUUGCUUUGAAACUGAGGACAAGACGAGAUAGACGGACAGAAUGGUCAGAGCCGGGAGGAGGGGAGAGGAAACAACCAAGGACUUCCGCCACAGACAGCCAGCAGCCAUGACCUGGGGCCUGGCCCGGGGCGGGGCCCUCCUGCCACAUGGAACACGGGGUCAGAGGUCAGAGUGGCCUGCGUGUAGAGUGUGCAUCGGGCUUGGGAACUGGGGGGAGCAGGGGAGGGACACAAAUAUAUCAAUCUGUUUAUAUCUGGUGUCUACAGGAAUACAAAACCAUUGCAAAGGCUCCUAAGGCCUGGCAGCCGCCCCUAAAGCUGGACCUGGAAGGAAACAGAUAAGAUGAAGCAAGAGUGACACCGAUGCAUAAGUGACAGCAGGAGUAAAAACACCCGGCGCGUCGGGAGUCGGAGGCCUCGUAGGCCGUCGGCUUGGCUGCCCUGUCCUGGCUCCUCCGAGCAGCCUUGCUUCCUGCCCGGAGCCCGGUCCUGCCUGGGGCUGGGCUCGGCCACAUGGCUGGGAAAUGACCUCUGUGGUCCACUCACUCGCUUCCGAGGAGGCCACAGGGCAAGAUGCUUGUGAUGGGUCCCUUGCGCGCACCUGUGGCUGGCGGUGGGGCUGUCGAGGUGUCCAGCAAGCGGGCAGGCUGGCUGCAGACAGACCAGCUGCUGGGUGUGUGGGUGAGCGGAAAGAGCACAGGGCAGAGAGCUGGGGGCGCUGGGUGCCCGGGCUCUGCCACCGACAGGUGGGCAGCCUUGGCCUCCCAGGCCCUCAGCCUCCUCUUCUGCAAAACAAGAGGGUGGACCUAGAUGAGGUCUGAACUCCCGUGGAGAUUUUGUGGCAGAGGCUGGAAAAUGCCCUUCCCACGAGACUCUUCUCUACGUGGCAGUACCUGAAACUCCAUCAUCAGAGCGACAUUCUCUUAGGUCAGGCACCGCCCUCCCAGGGCCUCAGCGCAGGCAUGGCCAGGAGGAGAGGGGGAGAUGCAAUCCUGCCACAGAGCUGGCGUCCAGGCUCCCUCCCAGGGCGGCCACGGUAGGCCGUCCCCACACAACGGCUCAUCCCACCAGGACCCCAAGGGGCCUCUGCCUCCAAGCCCUGGGCCAGCCCAGAAGGCAGAGGGGGCAAGGUGUGGGCUCCACAGAGGCCCCUCCAAACCCCUGCAACACAGAGUGACUCCUAAAGUGACUUCACACACCUAGUCUUCUGCUGUUGGCAUGGAUUUCCAUACCUCAGUGGCUUUGUUAAGUGUAGAAGUAAUCCACUAGGUGAUCACUUGAAACCACAGAAAUCCUUAACACCCCCAGCCCCAGAGCCAUCUGGUCAACCUCGUACUCCUGUCUUUGCUGCCCGGGCCUUCAUUCCUGCAAGCCACUGCCUGGCCUCUCCUCUGCCCUGUGGAGGUCACACGGGGCCACAGCCUGCUCCCGAGGCCCCCAGUCACUGCUGCCUUCACCUCUGGCCAGCUCACUUGUCUACCCAGGAGUCCUCAGGUGGAGGAGCUCAAAGCCAGUGAAGGGCUGAGCCCAGGGGACUUCAGGAUGUGUGAGCACACACGCACACAGAUGCACUGUGGGGAGGGGUGCUGGGCAGAUGGACAGUCCAUGGCUGAGUGACAGGUGCGAUGGGACCCACAUGGCUGCUGAGGGGUGCUGCCUGUCUUGCCCACAGUCUGAGCUAGGGAGUGGGUCCUGGCCGCCAGGCGCAGGAGGAGGGGCACCAGGUGCGGUAGAGCAUCGCAGGUGCUGUCUAGACUGAGGAGGACCCUUGGCCACAGGAGGCAUGGCUGUGGCUCUGUUCCUCCUGGCCCCUUGUGAGGGCCACCUAUGGGGUGGAGGGGGCGCUGGGCAGAUGAUCUGCAGGGAAUGGCCAGAGAGGCACAGGGGAAUGUGAUGGGGGCUCUGUCAGAAUCUGAGUUCAAGGAGGAGACGAGGCCUCAAAGGGCGAGGCCUGUGCCUCUUACCAACACACAUGGUUCUCAUCCACACAGGCCUUUGUGCGUGGCCUGGAGAGCUGUGAGGGGGUGGGGGCGCCUCUCUAUCCCUGAACACCAGACUGUCUUGGGACUGGACCCCGGGGCUCCUUAGGCCUCUUCCCUCUGAGCAGGGACCCCAGAGGGACACCCCCGUGAUGGGUGACCCUGGUCCCUGAGGAGGGGGUACAGGUGGCUGUUCCGUCCCUGCCCUGAGCCAUUUCUUGUCCUACUGGGCUCCAUGGAGUGAAUGGCGUGGGGUGCUGCUGGGCCGCCAGGUCACGACGUGGCUUUAGAGGGACUGCAGCAGGGCAGACGGGGAGCACUAACCUUCUCUAUGAAGCUGACAAAGGGGGGUUGGGUGCAGAGUGAGGGGCAGGCUGGUGCUGCCCAGCCACACGGGCCCCAUGGGGUCUGUCAGAAGACCAGAGCUUCCUAGAGUCACUUCCUUCUCGGGCUGGGGGUGCCCAGGAGAGGCCAGAGUUCGGGACGUAGCCUCUGCUCAGCAGAGGAAUGGCUAGGUCCAACUACCGGGAUGUUUGCAAUCCCACCAUUAGCCAUGGACUCAUCCAGGAUUAGAAAUGCCCUUCCUUUCAGACAUCAGGUUGGAGGCCCUCAUCCACCCUCACGCACCUCGGAGGUCAGAUGUUUCAUUUUGCAAGGUGGAACUGGGCACCGUCUGGAGCGAUGGGCAGAAUCCGUGGGCAGCGGCGGGUGAGGCACAGGCAUGGGGCAGGUGGCUGGUACCCAGCUCUGCUCAGAAGAGAGGACUCUGCCCGUGAAUGAACACCUGGGCAUGUCCUCAGCUGCAGGACACACGCAUGGGCAUGCACGAGUUUCCCUGGGUCUUGGGGAUUUGUGUGGCUCAGGCCCACCCUUGGUAACUUGGCGACAGGUGUGGGUCAUGCCAUUGUGCCAGCAUCCAAAGUGAGACAUGGGAGUCUCGUUAUCUGGCUUCCAAGCCACACCUGUCUACCAAGCAAGGUGGCAGGCACUGCCACCCACACGUGCUCAGGGAAGAGGGUGAAGGGUGUGGGGCUCUGGGCAGGACUUUGCUGGGGCCCUUCUGCAUGGCCACGGGGUGCAGCCAAGCCCAAAGGGACUUGGCCGCACCCUGGGAGAGGACACUGAGAUCCAGCGCUCCCACUCACGGUCUGACCGUCAUCUUUACAAAACACACAUCUGGUCGCAACACCCCCAGGCUCCUGUGACCCAGGUCCAGCCUCCCUCCAGCCGCGUCCCCUGCAAGCCACUGUCAUGCCUGGCCCUGCAGCAACGUGGAGUCACCUGUGGGACCUGAGACCCCCUCCCGCCUUUCGACCUUGCUCUCCCCCACGUGUCUGCCGGGCCGAUGCCUGUUCUUCAUAACCCACAUCAGAUGCCACCUCUCCAAGGUGCCUCCCUGAAUGCCCCUCCCCCACAGCCAGGCCCUUGGCCCACGAGUCUCUGAAGCAUCAUCUCCGCUCGUCUCCUUGCCUGUCUGCAGUGUGUCCCCACCAGACUGUGGGCUUGGCUGGUGUUUGGUGUGAGUCCCGGCCCCAGGAGGGGCUCCUGUGUGUUUGCUGAGUGACCAGCGAGUGAAUGACUUGGAUUCCCACAUUCUGUCCUGUGGCUCCAGGGCAGGGUGUCUGCACUGGGGUUGGGUCUGGCAGGCACUGUCCUAGCCAGGCUCGGGUGCUGGGUCAUUGUCCUCCCUGGGGCUGGAGUGGUAGACACAUCACCUGUCCCAGGCUGGGGGUGGGAGUCUAGCCUGAGCCUCCAGACAGGAGGCUCAGGGAUGCUGGGACAGCAGGGAGGGGUCACCUGCCCUUGGCAGGGCUCACCCAGGGAGGGCCAAUGUUGAUCCCCACAGAGGUCUGCACCAGGACAGAGGUCCCAGAAAUGGUCCCUACUCCCUCCCCUUACAAGAGUGCAGCUGCCUGAGCGGGGAGCCACUGCUUGGGGUCAAAGGGCAGGGCCACAGCUCUGCACUGGGCCAGUCCGGCCACUGCACAGUAAGUCUCCAGGGUCACGGAUGUGAAGGGACUGAAAAGACAUGGUGACAUCAGCUUCUCUCUUGACCACCAAGAAUGUGAAAUUCUCUAUGAUUUUACACGGCGGGAAAGGAAACCAUCUUCCUGUAAAGACCUGGCUUUCCUCCUGAGAAGGCACUUGUUUGCACUCAUCAGCACCAAUGGUCACGUGUGCUCUGUGGCUGCAAACUCACACGGCGACCUUCAGUCACAGGGCACCCUGGGGCUUGGCUUUGGCUUCCCUCCUUUUUCCCGUGUGACCCUCCUGUAUGCUGAAGGCCCCCCAGCCCCGACUCUACAAACCUCAGACCUCUCUGGGUUCAGAUCCAUGCACCUGGCUGCCUACAGGCGGCCCAACCUGGGGACCUGGGCAUCCAUCAGGCUGCUCAGCUUGACACGCCAGAUGCUCAACUGCUCAUCUCCCCAGCUUUCCCAACGCUGGCCUGUGGACCUGCUCUCCUCCCUGUGACCUCUGAUGCCCAUGACACCUCAGCUUCUUGGGUCCUGGUGCUUGCACGUGGGAAGCCUCUCCGUCCUGGUCCUGCCCAUCCUCUGCCCAUCACUCUGAGGUGUCAGAGCUGCAAGGAGACCUGGGCAUCAUGUGAACCAAUUCUGAUUUAUAGAUGAGAAAGCCCAGGGUGCAGGAGAGGAGGUGACCAGUCUGAGGUCACAGGACAAGUGGCAGAGUCCGGUGGAGGACCCAGGUCUCCUACCUGCCAAGGCGGGGAUGUCCUCUCUCCUCCAGCCCCAUCCUUUCUGAUCAGGGCCACCGAGACACAUCCUACUGUUCUCCCGCCUUCAGCUGGUUUGGAGCCAGGCCCAAGACCCUAGGACGCUCAUCCGUGAUCCAGCAGCCAGAUGCGGGCCCCUGCUUCCAGGAUUUGUCAAGAGUGGAAGCACAAAGUCCUCCCCGGCCUGGUGAGGGCACUAGACAUAUCCCUUCACCCCAGACCACAUGCCCCUAACCCCUGUGCUUGGACAGAGAGAGCCCAAGCACCGGGGGCAGGAGACCCGAGGUGUCCAUGAGAUGGGAAGUCCCAAAGAGCCUGCCCCUUCCUGCGAGGCUGAGGGCCGGCAUGGGGCCAGGCGGAGCCCGCCCACAGGGCAGCUGGGCUCUAUGUGAAAGGACGGAUCGGAGAGGAGAUGCCAGCCACGGAUCCAUCCUGAAACAAAACACAGUCACUCCGGGGUUAGUUGGCAAGUCCAAACACGGCAUUGGGAAGCAGAGGUCCUGUCCUCCCUCUGAGCACAGUCCUGGCUCAGCGUCUGCCCCGGAGAGGCUGCAAGGCAAGAGGAGCAGCGGCGUUAAUCUGCUGAGGGCUGAGAGAAAUGUGAGCGUUACCCUGGGCUGGCCCCUUGGCUGCUCUCCCUUACUACGGAGCUGGAAGGUGGCCCCUGACUUCUUUGCAAAGGUAUGAAGCAGACAAAUUUAAAAAAUCAACAUAAUGGAGAAAAAAAAAAAAA